rnacentral:rRNA from 1 species
UGAGUACGAGCUGCUACGGCAGCGAAGUGGGUGACGUCAAGCUUCCAAGAAAAGCCCUAUACCCGCUAAGGCAUGAUGGCCUGUACCCGAAACCGACACAGGUGGGGUGGUAGAGAAUACCGAGGGGCGCGAGGUAACUCUCUCUAAGGAACUCGGCAAAAUGGCCCCGUAACUUCGGGAGAAGGGGUGCCACCGCAAGGUGGUCGCAGUGAAGAGGCCCAGGCGACUGUUUACCAAAAACACAGGUCUCCGCUAAGUCGCAAGACGAUGUAUGGGGGCUGACGCCUGCCCAGUGCCGGAAGGUUAAGGAAGUUGGUCAGCGAAAGCGAAGCUAGCGACUGAAGCCCCGGUGAACGGCGGCCGUAACGAUAACGGUCCUAAGGUAGCGAAAUUCCUUGUCGGGUAAGUUCCGACCCGCACGAAAGGCGUAACGAUCUGGGCGCUGUCUCGGAGAGAGGCUCGGCGAAAUAGAAUUGUCUGUGAAGAUGCGGACUACGUGCACCCGGACAGAAAGACCCUAUGAAGCUUUACUGUAGCUUGGUAUUGUGCCCGGGCUCUGAAUGCGCAGGAUAGGUGGGAGGCUUUGAUCCAUGGCUUGCGGGUCAUGGUGAGCCAACGGUGAGAUACCACUCUUUCAGGGCUAGGGUUCUAACGGUCACCCGUUAUCCGGGGACCGGACAGUAUCUGGUGGGCAGUUUGACUGGGGCGGUCGCCUCCUAAAAGGUAAUGGAGGCGCGCAAAGGUUUGCUCAGGCUGGUUGGAAAUCAGCCGACGAGUGUAAAAGCAGAAGCAAGCUUGACUGUGAGACCAACAAGUCGAACAGGGACGAAAGUCGGCUUUAGUGAUCCGACGGUUCUGAGUGGAAGGGCCGUCGCUCAACGGAUAAAAGUUACUCUAGGAUAACAGGCUGAUCUCCCCCAAGAGUUCACAUCGACGGGGAGGUUUGGCACCUCGAUGUCGGCUCAUCGCAACCUGGGGCUGAAGUCGGUCCCAAGGGUUGGGCUGUUCGCCCAUUAAAGCGGUACGCGAGCUGGGUUCAGAACGUCGUGAGACAGUUCGGUCCAUAUCCGGUGCAUGCGCAGGAAUAUUGAGAGGAGUUCUCCCUAGUACGAGAGGACCGGGAGGAACGCACCUCUGGUGUACCAGUUAUUGUGCCAACGGUAAACGCUGGGUAGCCAUGUGCGGAGAGGAUAACCGCUGAAAGCAUCUAAGUGGGAAGCCCACCUCAAGAUGAGUAUUCCCAUGGCAUAAGCCAGUAAGGUCACGGGAAGAACACCCGUUGAUAGGCUCUACGUGGAAGCGCAGUAAUGCGUGAAGCGGAGGAGUACUAAUAGACCGAGGGCUUGA